AGUCCAUAGUCAAGGGUAUACGAGUAGCUGAGCUCCCCUGCUAGAACCUCCAAACAAACUCUCAAGUGGAUUAAAUUCUUAUUUAGGAAGGAAGAGUCAACU
rnacentral:sRNA from 1 species